GUUCCUUUGCAUCCAAGGCAUUCUUUAGUAUCAGACCUGCUAAUUUACGGCUAUCAACAGGCUUAUCUUCAUUAGCUAGCUCACCAGACAACGAUAACAGAAAACUAGGCAGAUUUUGCUCCUGAAAUUGUUUCAAGCUUUCCUCAGCUUGCUUCCUAACAUUUCCAUCUAUUGAUUGUGCGUUCAAAAGCACCUGGGUAACUUCCAUUGCNNNGUUGGGGCGGAGCCACGAAAUUGAAGAAGAAAACAAAGAGAAGGAUCGAGAAGAGUGAAACGGCGCACUCCAACCCUAGCACUAGCAGACAGUGGAGGGGAGGAAGAAGAAGAAGAUGCG
rnacentral:misc_RNA from 1 species